rnacentral:rRNA from 1 species
GGCGAGUGAAGCGGGAAAAGCUCAAAUUUGAAAUCUCCCUUUGGGGCGAAUUGUAGUUUAUAGAAGUGUUUUCUGGGAUAGCCCGGGUGUAGGUCCUUUGGAACGAGGCACAUAGAGGGUGAGAAUCCCGUGCCGCCUGGCGUCUAUUCCUUUGUGAUACACUUUCUACGAGUCGGGUUGUUUGGGAUUGCAGCCCAAAAGGGUGGUAAAUACCAUCUAAAGCUAAAUAUUGGCGAGAGACCGAUAGCGAACAAGUACCGUGAGGGAAAGAUGAAAAGAACUUUGAAAAGAGAGUUAAACAGUACGUGAAAUUGCCAAAAGGGAAGCGCUUGGAACCAGUGUUGCAAUCCGUAAUCAGCCAGUCUUAGACUGGUGCACUUGCGGUGAGCAGGUCAGCAUCAGUUUAGUCUGGGCUAAAAAGCUUGCGACGUCCCUUCGGGGUCUGCGUUUGUUAUGGCCUGGACAGACUGAGGUCCGCUUUCACAGGAUGCUGACAAAAUGGUUUCAAACGACCCGUCUUGAAACACGGACCAAGGAGUCUAACAAAUACGCGAGUAUUCGGGUGGCAAACCCUUAUGCGCAAUGAAAGUGAAAUUGGUGGGAACCUCGGUGCACCAUCGACCGGUCUGGAUUUUUUUGAUAGAUCUGAGUAAGAGCGUAUCUGUUAGGACCCGAAAGAUGGUGAACUAUGCCUGAAUAGGGUGAAGCCAGAGGAAA